UACGGAGGGUGCGAGCGUUGUUCGGAAUUAUUGGGCGUAAAGCGCGUGUAGGCGGUUGUAUAAGUCAGAUGUGAAAGCCUUCCGCUUAACGGAAGAAGUGCAUUUGAAACUAUACGACUAGAGUACGGGAGAGGAGAGUGGAAUUCCCGGUGUAGAGGUGAAAUUCGUAGAUAUCGGGAGGAACACCAGUGGCGAAGGCGGCUCUCUGGAUCGAUACUGACGCUGAGACGCGAAAGCGUGGGGAG
rnacentral:rRNA from 1 species